GGAGUCGAUUAGCCAUGCGAGUCGAGAGGUGUUAUGGCCUCGGCGGACUGCUCAGUAACACGUGGACAACUUACCCAAGAGUCCGGGAUAACCCCGGGAAACUGGGGAUAAUACCGGAUAGGUCACCUAUGCUGGAAGGCGGGGUGGUUGAAACUUCCGGGGCUUUUGGAUGGGUCUGCGGCUGAUUAGGUUGUUGCCGGUGUAACGUACCGUCAAGCCUGUAAUCAGUACGGGUUGUGGGAGCAAGAGCCCGGAGAUGGAUUCUGAGACACGAAUCCAGGCCCUACGGGGCGCAGCAGGCGCGAAAACUCUACAAUGCAGGCAACUGCGAUAGGGGAACAUCGAGUGAUCCUCAUAUUGGGGGUCUGUCCCACUGUCUAAAAAACGGUGGUUAGCAAGGGCCGGGCAAGACCGGUGCCAGCCGCCGCGGUAAUACCGGCGGCUCGAGUGGUGGCCGAUAUUAUUGAGUCUAAAGGGUCCGUAGCCGGCUUUGCAAGUCUCUCGGGAAAUCCAGCGGCUUAACCGUUGGUCGUCCGGGGGGUACUACAUUGCUUGGGACUGGGAGAGGUAGGAGGUACUCAGGGGGUAGGAGUGAAAUCCUGUAAUCCUCUGGGGACCACCGGUGGCGAAGGCGUCCUACCAGAACAGGUCCGACGGUGAGGGACGAAAGCUAGGGGCACGAACCGGAUUAGAUACCCGGGUAGUCCUAGCCGUAAACGAUGCUCGCUAGGUGUCACAACAGUUGUGAACUGUUGUGGUGCCGUAGGGAAGCCGUGAAGCGAGCCACUUGGGAAGUACGACCGCAAGGUUGAAACUUAAAGGAAUUGGCGGGGGAGCACCACAACGGGUGGAGCCUGCGGUUUAAUUGGACUCAACGCCGGGAAGCUUACCGGGAUCGACAGUUGUAUGAAGGCCAGGCUGAAGACCUUGCCGGACUAUCUG
rnacentral:rRNA from 1 species